CAUAGCCCGGAGAUGGAUUCUGAGACACGAAUCCAGACCCUACGGGGUGCAGCAGGCGCGAAAACUUGGCAAUGCGAGCAAUCGUGACCAGGGAACUCCAAGUGGCUGGGGUAAUACCCAGUUUUUUCUUGACUCUUCAAAGGUCUUGGAAUAAGGGGUGGGUAAGGACGGUGCCAGCCGCCGCGGUAAUACCGGCGCCUCAAGUGGUAGUCGCUUUUAUUGGGCCUAAAACGUCCGUAGCCGGUCUGGUGCAUUCGUGGGUAAAUCAACCCGCUCAACGGGUUGAAUUCUGCGAGCACGGCCAGACUUGGGACCGGGAGAGGUGUGGGGUACUCUCAGGGUAGGGGUAAAAUCCUGUCAUCCUGAGAGGACCACCUGUUGCGAAGGCGCCACACUAGAACGGAUUCGACGGUCAGGGACGAAACCUAGGGGCACGAACCGGAUUAGAUACCCGGGUAGUCCUAGGUGUAAACGCUGUGGACUUGAUGUUGGGGGUGCUCCGA
rnacentral:rRNA from 1 species